rnacentral:rRNA from 1 species
AUGAAUCACGAAGAUGGCACUGAUCCUUGGCUUUCUCAAAGGCCGGAAACGCCACCUUGGGAUGCAGCAGAGUACAAUCAACUCAUUUCUUCAGGGCCAUUGCUGCCACUACUAGAGCACUACGCGGGCAUCGGUUCUUAUGACCAAACCACAAUCAGGGGGGCAGCAUGGCAAGUUUCGUCACAGGGCGCUAACGCUGACAAAUGUACGGGCAACCAACUUCAGCUAGCUAAUGUGGCAAAUCAAGGACCUUCAUGCAGCACGUGGCAUCAGGUAGCAACCAUGUACCUGCCGUCAACGUCGUACACAGGUGAGCACAUGAAAGUGAAGUUGUGGAAAUUGCCAUGUAUGCUGGAUUGUAUCUGCCAUUGCUAUGUGCUGCAAGUUCUGAUGCUGAAAGAAGCUGGUUGCCAUGUGUGGGCAACAAUAGUUGCCAUCGGCGCGGGGACAUCUACUGCGGGGAGCUCUGAGUGCACGGAAGACACGUUCCACCAGCCAGCCAACACUCAUGCCACAAACAAUGCUGAGUCAGUGUCGGAAAUGGUAAUCGUGCCAGCAAUACCGACAAGCACACAUGUGCACACCAGCACAAGCAACACUCAAGCAGGUGAAACAGCCGCCGAUACUGAAGUGAAUGAUGAAACCAAUGACGAAGCACAAGGGGAUGAAGAUGGUGGGCAAUCAGAAAUCAUGGUACCCCAGCCACUGUAUCUUGGGCAGAGAUUUGAUUUGUUUGCAGAUGCAAAGGAAUUCUACCAGACAUAUGCAAAGUUCCAUGGAGGUGAGAUGAGGUGCUACAAGGCACGAAGAAACAAGAAGGGCAAAGGUGAUGCGCCCGUCGUUCCGGAACGAAAGAGAGGUAUCAUUAUCAAGACGGAAUGCCCUGUCCGGUGUAAGCUGAACGUAGAUGCAGCACAGUGGGUGGUCACUGAAUAUUUUGAUGAGCACAACCACGAGCUAAUAAAGAAGUUUGACCUGGAAGAAGCAAACACCGCGCUCAAGCAGCCAAAAUUGCUAAUGUAUUUACCAAUGGAGAGGCAGAUGAGCAAGAUAUACACCAACACGAUUUUUAACAAAUUCGAGGAAGAAAUAAAGCGUGCCAGCAUGUACACGGCUUUCCAGGUGGACGAAUAUACGUUCAAGGUGUGUUCUAUCAUGGGCAUGUCGGAUUCAGAUCCUGAAGACCUAGACAAGGGAAGGAACUACUUUGUGAAGGCAUCGAUAAGCGAAGGCGAAUACUACUGCCAAUGCUGCAAAUUCGAACGAGACGGGAUUGUGUGCUGUCACUUUCUAAAAGUAAUGGACUUGAACGCGGUGACACGAAUGCCCCGCCAUUUCAUAAGGCAGCGAUGGGCUUGGGACGCUGAUGACGCAUUGGCGCCACAAAUAUCAAACACAGUUUUGGCCGUGCAUGACGAGAGACCAGAGUCAACCAUGGAAGCCGCGAGGCACGUUGUGUUGACAAAGAACUAUGCUGAACUAAUUGAUGAAGCGUGCAAGAGUGAUGAGACAGCAAAGGUCGCAGAAAAACACAGGAAGGCCCUCAAAAGAGAGCUUGAUGAGAUCAAGAAGAGGAAAGCUGAGGAAGCCUUACACAGGUUCCCCCGCACAUCAAGUGUGCCUUCGUCCACACGGCUAUCAUCUGAAAACUCGGAGGUAGGAUCUGGAACAGCAAGCACACAAACACAGGUUAGGAACCCGCCCCGUUCCAUCACAAAAGGGCGUCCGAAAGAGAUAAGAUACAAAUCGGGGUUGGAGAUUCAAGCAAAACAUAAGAAACCAAAGAAAGGGACGGGUAAUCCGUAA